CCCCCAUGGAAAUGGGCAAAGAGACACCUGGUUGGUGAUAUUAUUCUUAUAACCGACAGGGGCAGAGCAGAUGGCAGUCCUUUGUUCACCCUAGCUUGAUACCUGGCUUAUUGGCCAAAGCUUUUUAUGCCUAGGACACAUAA
ensembl:snoRNA LOC120101268 small nucleolar RNA SNORA48